UUCGCCAGGGAACAACGAGCCCCAGCUUAAAACCCAAAGGACUUGGCGGUGCUUUAGACCCCCCUAGAGGAGCCUGUUCUAGAACCGAUACUCCCCGUUCAACCUCACCCUCCCUUGUUCUCCCCGCCUAUAUACCGCCGUCGUCAGCUUACCCUGUGAAGGAAAAACCGUAAGCAAAAUUGGCAUAGCCCAAAACGUCAGGUCGAGGUGUAGCGUACGAGAGGGGAAGAAAUGGGCUACAUUUACUGUUUCAGUAAACACGGACCUUGUAUUGAAACAAACAUGUGAAGGAGGAUUUAGCAGUAAGGGGAGAGUAAAGUGCCCCCCUGAAAAUGGCCCUGAAGCGCGCACACACCGCCCGUCACUCUCCCCAAUAAAAUACCGCAAAUAACUAAUGCCCAAUUGAAAUAUAAGGGGAGGCAAGUCGUAACAUGGUAAGUGUACCGGAAGGUGCACUUGGAAAAACC
rnacentral:rRNA from 1 species